rnacentral:tRNA from 1 species
GCCUGGGUGGCUCAGUCGGUUGAGCGUCUGACUUCGGCUCAGGUCAUGAUCUCGCGGUCUGUGAGUUCAGUCCCGCAUCGGGCU